ensembl:lncRNA
CUCAGCACAGCACGACAUCCGACCGUCACCAGAGAACACCCUUGAACGUAUGUGGUCUGCAGUUUGGGUCCCUUCCAGUUCCCCCUCCACUCCCACUGCGCUGGCGUCUGGACGCCGUCCUGGACCAGUCUGGGUCGGCCUUCACCCAACCCUGGACUGGAGGCGUCCCACGCUCGGGCUGUACGUCGAACUCCACCUGAAGAUAACGGACCCGUCCAACCCUGCCUUCACCGUCCACCGCAUCGGAGUCCAGCGUCUGAACAGCACUCUGUCUGCUCUUCACACGGCUGGGUGAACCCCACCCUAACCCCACCCUACCAACCAACACGCACCACUCACUGAUGAGGAGCUCUUUGAGUCCCUGAAGAUCAGCCGAUAUCAGGCCUACGUCUUCAGUCAAACCUCCGGGCGGAGAAGGCUGGCUGGCAACAGACGAACGAUGGUAGGUUAUUAUUAUCCAAAGAACGGGAGAAAUAAACACAGAAUGCUGGUGUGAUUAUGAAAAGUCGUGUCAGAUAAUUACUGCAAAUCUCUCCUGUUCAAAUUCAUUUCCCAGAGAGUCUUCUGAUACCAGAAUGCGAGAUGACUAUAGCCCUUUUUCUUCCCCGUGUGCUUUCAAAUUUUAAUUUCUCAGAUGAUUUUAUUUUAUUUUUUUUCUCACCAUUACGUUUCCAACAUCAGGAAGAGGUCUGUUGUUCACUGCUCUUCAAUAAAAUAAAUAAAUAAAUCAUAAAUCAGCGCUUCCUGAGUUUGAACCCAGCGGUUGGCUGCUGCCCGCCUGUUGUUCACUACGUCUCCAUUGUCCAUUGCUUGCUUUAAAUGGAUUCAUUAAUCCAUAAUCAUGCAUUUUAUACCGGGGGUUAAGAUGACCUUGGCCUUUAAAUAACCUGCAUUAUCAUUAUUGUCGUCAUCAUUAUUUCAGUUUGAUUAUUAUUAUGAUUAUUAUAAUUAUUAUAAAUAUUAUUGAUAAUAAUGUCUAUCAGCGCUUGACUUCUCCUUGAAGUAGGCAGAACUUUUACCGUACAAAAUUAUGUUUAUUAUAAUUUAUAUAUUGUUACAUAUUUUAUUUAUCCAUCAACCUUUUAAAUUCAAGCAAACGUGUUCAAAUGCAAAAGUACAACAAACGAAGUUUGUGUGUAGAACAUCAAAAUGUCCCUAUUGAAGAUAUGACCUCUGAACUUCUGAACUUCUUCUGAUACAUUACGUAAACCAUAAUCCACAAUUACAGAACUCAAAGAAAACAAAAUGUCCUCCAAUGUGGCUGGGGAUGAAACGGUCCACCGAAAGUCUUUCAUGUCAGCAUAACAAGCAUGUUUCCUGGUGUCAGGGCUUAGGGUAAGCUUCUACGAUUCCGUUGGUCUGUUUUUUUUAAUCUGUGAGGUCACAAAUAGAACAACAACAUGCGUGAUUAGGGCGGGCGAUAAACAGAGUCAGGCCGCGGCGGCUUACACGCUAAUGAACAGCUCCCCCAAAACCCACAAUUACAUAAUUCUUGUUUUCUUUUCCCAGUCUAAACUGAGAGGGGGGGGGGGUUCCGUUGUGAUGUUUGGGGCUGAGGUUUUGAUUAGUCGACUCAUCUCAGCAGGCCCCGCCCCCUUCGUAAGCCUCCACAUCCUGGUCGCCCCCGACUUCCCCACACAUCGGUUAUCAUCUGCCGGCGGUGCUCAAACAAGGGCGGCAUGUUGCUUAUGAGGUGGAGCAGGUUGUCCGGCAACCGGAAGGUCGCUAGUUCGAUCCCCGGCUCCUCCUAGCUGAGGGUUGAGGUGUCCCUGAGCAAGGCGCCUCGACCUAACUGCUCCCAACGAGCUGGCUGUCAUCUUGCAUGGCUGACACCACCAUCGGUGUGUGAAUGUGUGCGAUAGUGUAUAGCGCUAUGAGUGGCUAAUGGUUAGAAAAGCGCUCUCUCGAACACAAGGAGGACGACCCCAUGAGGAAGAGGACGCCAACGGACACAAGGCGGCCCCAGGUGAUCUCCCGAGCCACAGGUUGGGAACCACUGGGCCGGUUCUCCGUGUUCUGACGGGCUCCGGCUCCACCUCCUCCGGUUUCUGGUGCAUUAGGAGGAGCAGGGUUCUUGGAACGAUGUGCCUUUUUUUUUUCAGGGGAAAAAUGCCAGCACCUCCCAACCCUAACACCUUGGGUCCAUAGAGUGAAGUAAAGGCGAUCUGACUGGCCUUUACUGCUCCCCACACAGCUGGACGUUGCCGUGCCAAAACGACUAGCCGUUGACCCAGAGCUGCCAAACUUGUCAUUUCAUUGGCAAUGAAUUAAAAACAAAAUGAAACCCAAAAGGCAGAGGAAACCAAAAAGGCAGAAUUCCACUCUAGCUUUUUAACUGUUGUUGAAACUGGCAACCGGUCAACUGCGUUGCCAAGGUUAGCCUCUGCUAGAAAUGCACAAGGAUAAUUUUCUAUUUUUAAACGUUGCUGUGUAUAUGAUUCAAAUAAUUUUUUGGCUGUUUUUCUCUUAACCUGAGUCGCUACGCACCUAGCUACUCGUGCCCAACAGCCAGGUUGCAUACACUGCAUUAGCUACAUUAGCAAUAACAGCUACAUCGUACACAACAACAAUACCUACAUUAGCAACAUUAGCUACGGUACCCAGCAUCAUUACAAAUGCCUAGAUUAGCCACAUCAUAAACAAUAGCCAAAUCAGCUACAUUAGCCACACAAGCUACAUUAUCAAUAUUAGCUACAUUAGCUGCAUUCAUUUUAAUAGUUUAAUCAGCUGCAUAUUCUACCAACUAAGCUACAUUGGCAUCCUUCUCUAGAUUUGCAACAUCACACAACACAACAUGAGGAAAGCAUUGUAUCUUCCUGGUCGUAUAAUCUGUAAUUACUUAUUAUUAAUUAUUAUUAAUCACUUAUGCUGGUCUAUGUGCAGGUGAUCAACACAGCAAACAUGCUCUGCUUAGAACCUCCAUCGCAGGAAACCAAAAUCAACACAGGUUCAAAACUCGAGACAAGUGUUCUCAAAUGCCACGCUAACUAAUGAUGUUCUAUAUUUCUGUUCAAACUUAUAUUGUAUUUUAUUUUAAUUAAAUUGUAUUUUAUUCCUUUUGAAGCACAGAUGUACCGGUCAUGUCACACAAACAUUUUGCUGCAUAUCCUGUAUGUGUAUGUGACGAAUAAAAACCUUUGAAUCUUUGAAUCUUGAACCGUGGCAGUUUCCCUCCUAA